GACCGUAGCCUAGUGGUUAGAACGUCCGCCUCGGACGCGGGGGAUUGCGGAUCCGAUCCCCGGCAGAGUCA